UAUGUACUUCCCUCCGUCCGGAAUUACUUGUCGCGGAAAUGGAUAAAAAUGGAUGUAUCUAUAAUCAUUGUAACAGUUGUAAACUAAAAUACGUCUAGAUACAUCCCUUUCUCCGACAAGUAUUUCCGGAGGGAGGGAGUAUGUU
rfam:Hordeum vulgare subsp. vulgare, WGS project CAJW01000000 data, contig: morex_contig_1567736